rnacentral:tRNA from 1 species
GGCAGGUUAGCUCAGUUAGUUGAGCGUGGCGCUAACAACGCCAAGGACACGGGUUCCAUUCCUGUGCGGUCCC